UCCCCAGAAGCUAUCUAAGAAGGGCAAGCAAAGAGCAGUUGUCCACGGUGCUCCUCUACCCUGAUGUGGCAAGAACCCCCCACUCCUUGGGGUCACAGUCAGGCUGGGGAAGCUGUGGGCAGGCGCGACCUCAGUCGGAAUUCCCCUGGGUGAUACUUUCAUCCCGCCUCACGCCCACAGCGCUCCCUCCUAGAGCUACUGCGCCCGCCCACGCGGUGAUGUCAUCACCCGGGUGUCGGGCGCGCGCGGACGGUCCGCCCACGGAACCCGGGCGCGCUCUGUGCCAGAGUCGCGCACCUGUGGCGGCCGCCAGAGUCCGUGGGCAUGCGCGCUGCUACGGGGAGGCUCCUGAGCUCGCAAGCGGAGAUCCGGUUCUCCUAGUUGGAACCUGAGGCAGGCUGUGUGGGCCGUGGGGGAGCAAGGAUAGAGGAUGGUGAGGGUUUGCUCCAGAGAUGGGGAGGAGCCAGUGCAGUUCUUUUGCUUUGGGUGUGCACUGAGAGUUGGGUUCAUCUGCAGAAUCGAAAAGCCUAGGCAAAGUGAGAUGCGUUUAAUCCUAACCUAGGAGCACCUUUAGCAUACACGCCCAGAGCCUGAGGCCAGAGUCACUAAGUACAAAGCACCUGGGUGCCAGGGACCCAGGGAAGGCUUUCUUUGUUACUAUUUUUUCCACUCCACCAAUAAUUCUGUGGUGCAGGUAUAAUUGGGUUCCUAAUUAACUUGCCUACGCGUCACACAGAAGAGCCGGAGUUGAGGUUUCUACGAGGUUGGUCUGAUAACAAAGUUCAAAGCUGCCCAUCAGACACGAAGUCAAGACUGUGUUAAAAUAAGACCGAGAACACAUUCUGAAGAUACACGGCAAGUUGUGAGGCCUAUGCUAUGAUGCACCGGAACAAUGUGCCCCUGAGUAACAGUGUGCACCACGGCUGCGCAGCCAGAAACAUCGGUACCCAUAAAACAGAUCUAUAAAAUAGAGGGUUUAUUCUAGCCCGUGUCUAUCUGAGAGAGGCCGCUAUGGUGAAUGCUGGUUCCUUACCUGUGGUCCCACUAGAGAGAAAUAAACAUUUAUGAUUCCAAAUCCA